GGGAGCCCAAAAUAACAUUAUUUCUAUGGGCCUGCAUCCUAAUCCCUACCUGUAGUCUACCUACCUCUGGUAUAAUGCAUUUCCACCUCUCACUCCAUCAGUGUUGCUUGUCCAUCUUCCUGAAUUAAAAGAUGAACAGAUCAAUAUUGCUGGCAUAAUGUCAUUAAAUAUUGCUAAGUUAUUUAUCUAUAGUGUGGAUGUAGGGCAGUUUUUAGUAUGUAAUGAGCACCCAGAUGCUGCGUAUUCAACACAAUAAUAUCAGACAGACCAGCUGGCCCGUGCUGCCUCCGUGUUGACUACUAUGUUGCAAUGUGAAUAUUAUCAGAGUUGUCUUGUUGAUACUAAAUGUUUCAGUUUCUCCGAGCCGCCUCGUUCAUUUAUACAAUGUUUCAAUAUUAUCAGAGCCACCUUGUUGAUGCAAUGCUUCAGUGUUCACAGAAUGUUUCCUUUCCCUGGAGAAUAAUGCAGACAGGCAAAUACAACAUGAUCUGGGUGCAGACAUCAUUAGGAACAUCUCUGAAUGCAGAGCAACAAUGUAGGUGGGAAGAACAUGAGACAAUGACACUGUCAUAGUCCACUAUACGAACCGCUCCACAAGGGUGACUUCAUAUACAUUAUAGCAGGGGAUCAACAACGUUUUUCAUGAGUGACACUUUACAAUUGAUCCUACAAUUUCUAAAGAUCUGCGUGUAUAACACCCCACCCAGCAGACUGUUGACCAAUCACAUUCACGUUGUCAUGCUGCGUCACGCGGUUGCUAAACCAAUCACCACGUCCCUUCUCAAAGUCAGUGUACUUUAUGUCGAGAAACUGCCUGUUUUCAUCAAAAGUCCGUUCUGUCACGAUUCCAAAGCUAUACGAUACUACAGACAGCAAGUUCAUUAUCUCACAUCUCGAUCUCCAGGCUCAAAGCGUCAGUCCACCAGCUGAACUCUCAGUCAGACUGGUGGGUGGAUCACUUCCU